GCCUUCGUGGUGGAAUGGUCAGCACACUGAGCCGGUAUUUCAGAGGUCCGUGGUUCGAUCCCCGGCGAAGGCG
rfam:Stegodyphus mimosarum contig106950, whole genome shotgun sequence.